rnacentral:rRNA from 1 species
UACGGAGGGGGCUAGCGUUGUUCGGAAUUACUGGGCGUAAAGCGCGCGUAGGCGGCCCUGCAAGUCGGGGGUGAAAGCCCGAGACUCAACCUCGGAACUGCCUUCGAUACUGCGGGUCUCGAGUCCGGGAGAGGUGAGUGGAAUUCCUAGUGUAGAGGUGAAAUUCGUAGAUAUUAGGAAGAACACCAGUGGCGAAGGCGGCUCACUGGCCCGGUACUGACGCUGAGGCGCGAAAGCGUGGGGAGCAAACAGG